UAUCAUCAACCCCUCGCCGUUUUGCACGGUUGCGGGUUGGAGCUGGGGGCUUGCUGCCGAAACGUGGCUCCCCUCAAAUGCUUCGGUUGGGCCUGUGGGUCGGACUCGAUUGGGUGUUGUACCAUCCUCACUCUAACGAGAUGUUCCCCUCCUGUGCCCUUCCAUGACCUGCCGUUUGAGUGGCGGUCAAGCUAACUUUGAA
rnacentral:misc_RNA from 1 species